rnacentral:rRNA from 1 species
GAUGAACGCUGGCGGCGUGCCUAAUACAUGCAAGUCGAGCGAACAGACGAGGAGCUUGCUCCUCUGACGUUAGCGGCGGACGGGUGAGUAACACGUGUAUAACCUACCUAUAAUACUGGGAUAACUUCGGGAAACCGGAGCUAAUACGGGAUAAUAUAUUGAACCGCAUUGUUCAAUAGUGAAAGACGGUUUUGCUGUCACUUAUAGAUGGAUCCGCGCCGCAUUAGCUAGUUGGUAAGGUAACGGCUUACCAAGGCAACGAUGCGUAGCCGACCUGAGAGAGUGGUCGGCCACACGGGAGCGGAGACGGGGUCCAGGCUCCUACGGGAGGCAGCAGUAGGGAAUCUGCCGCAAUGGGCGAAAGCCUGACGGAGCAACGCGACGUGAGAUAUGAAGGUCUUCGGAGCGUGAAACUCUGUUAUGAGUGAAGAACAAAUGUGUAAGUAACUAUGCACGUCUUGACGGUACCGGAUCAGAAAGCCACGGCUAACUACGUG